rnacentral:rRNA from 1 species
GUGGGGAAUAUUGGACAAUGGGCGCAAGCCUGAUCCAGCCAUGCCGCGUGAGUGAUGAAGGCCCUAGGGUUGUAAAGCUCUUUCACCGGAGAAGAUAAUGACGGUAUCCGGAGAAGAAGCCCCGGCUAACUUCGUGCCAGCAGCCGCGGUAAUACGAAGGGGGCUAGCGUUGUUCGGAAUUACUGGGCGUAAAGCGCACGUAGGCGGACAUUUAAGUCAGGGGUGAAAUCCCGGAGCUCAACUCCGGAACUGCCUUUGAUACUGGGUUUCUGGAGUAUGGAAGAGGUGAGUGGAAUUCCGAGUGUAGAGGUGAAAUUCGUAGAUAUUCGGAGGAACACCAGUGGCGAAGGCGGCUCACUGGUCCAUUACUGACGCUGAGGUGCGAAAGCGUGGGGAGCAAACAGGAUUAGAAACCCCAGUAGUCC